rnacentral:rRNA from 1 species
GUGAGGUAACGGCUCACCAAGGCAUCGACGGGUAGCUGGUCUGAGAGGACGAUCAGCCACACUGGGACUGAGACACGGCCCAGACUCCUACGGGAGGCAGCAGUAGGGAAUCUUGCGCAAUGGGCGAAAGCCUGACGCAGCAACGCCGCGUGGGGGAUGAAGGCCUUCGGGUCGUAAACCCCUUUCAGCAGGGACGAAAAUGACGGUACCUGCAGAAGAAGGUCCGGCCAACUACGUGCCAGCAGCCGCGGUAAUACGUAGGGACCAAGCGUUGUCCGGAAUUAUUGGGCGUAAAGAGCUCGUAGGCGGUUCGGUAAGUCGGGUGUGAAAAUCCAGGGCUCAACCCUGGGACGCCACCCGAUACUGCUGUGACUAGAGUCCGGUAGAGGAGCGUGGAAUUCCUGGUGUAGCGGUGAAAUGCGCAGAUAUCAGGAGGAACACCAGCGGCGAAGGCGGCGCUCUGGGCCGGUACUGACGCUGAGGAGCGAAAGCAUGGGGAGCAAACAGGAUUAGAUACCCUGGUAGUCCAUGCCGUAAACGUUGGGCACUAGGUAUGGGACCUUAUCAACGGGUUCCGUGCCGUAGCUAACGCACUAAGUG